GUGGGGAAUUUUGGACAAUGGGCGCAAGCCUGAUCCAGCAAUGCCGCGUGCAGGAAGAAGGCCUUCGGGUUGUAAACUGCUUUUGUACGGAACGAAACGGUCCUGGCUAAUAUCCGGGGCUAAUGACGGUACCGUAAGAAUAAGCACCGGCUAACUACGUGCCAGCAGCCGCGGUAAUACGUAGGGUGCGAGUGUUAAUCGGAAUUACUGGGCGUAAAGCGUGCGCAGGCGGUGCUGUAAGACAGGCGUGAAAUCCCCGGGCUCAACCUGGGAAUUGCGCUUGUGACUGCAGUGCUGGAGUGCGGCAGAGGGGGAUGGAAUUCCGCGUGUAGCAGUGAAAUGCGUAGAUAUGCGGAGGAACACCGAUGGCGAAGGCAAUCCCCUGGGCCUGCACUGACGCUCAUGCACGAAAGCGUGGGGAUCAAACAGGAUUAGAAACCCGAGUAGUCC
rnacentral:rRNA from 1 species